rnacentral:lncRNA from 1 species
CGGUAUUAAAAAUGACUACCAGAAAUUUGGUUCCUCCUGAAAUUUCCGAUAAACAUAUUUUGUGAGCAAAACUUACUUUUUCGGAAAAUAUAAAUUGGGGGGUACAGUUUCCAACUUUCUGGAUAUUAUUGUACUAGAAUUAGGAGUGUUCAGGGUGCAAAAACUACACUGUACUAUAUUAAUAGUUUGGUUCAGUUUUUAAAAAUCACUUUCGAAUUAAG